GGGCAACCCUGGUGGCGAGUGGCGGACGGGUGAGUAAUGCAUCGGAACGUGCCCUGAAGUGGGGGAUAACGCAGCGAAAGCCACGCUAAUACCGCAUAUUCUGUGAGCAGGAAAGCAGGGGAUCGCAAGACCUUGCGCUUUGGGAGCGGCCGAUGUCGGAUUAGCUAGUUGGUGGGGUAAAGGCCUACCAAGGCGACGAUCCGUAGCGGGUCUGAGAGGAUGAUCCGCCACACUGGGACUGAGACACGGCCCAGACUCCUAUGGGAGGCAGCAGUGGGGAAUUUUGGACAAUGGGCGGAAGCCUGAUCCAGCCAUGCCGCGUGAGUGAAGAAGGCCUUCGGGUUGUAAAGCUCUUUCGGCGGGGAAGAAAUUGCUUGGGUUAAUACCCUGAGUAGAUGACGGUACCCGAAUAAGAAGCACCGGCUAACUACGUGCCAGCAGCCGCGGUAAUACGUAGGGUGCGAGCGUUAAUCGGAAUUACUGGGCGUAAAGCGUGCGCAGGCGGUUUUGUAAGUCAGAUGUGAAAUCCCCGGGCUCAACCUGGGAACUGCAUUUGAGACUGCAAGACUGGAGUUUGGCAGAGGGGGGUGGAAUUCCACGUGUAGCAGUGAAAUGCGUAGAGAUGUGGAGGAACACCGAUGGCGAAGGCAGCCCCCUGGGCCAAUACUGACGCUCAUGCACGAAAGCGUGGGGAGCAAACAGGAUUAGAUACCCUGGUGGUCCACGCCCUAAACGAUGUCAACUAGGUGUUGGGAGGGUUAAACCUUUUAGUGCCGUAGCUAACGCGUGAAGUUGACCGCCUGGGGAGUACGGCCGCAAGGCUAAAACUCAAAGGAAUUGACGGGGACCCGCACAAGCGGUGGAUGAUGUGGAUUAAUUCGAUGCAACGCGAAAA
rnacentral:rRNA from 1 species